rnacentral:rRNA from 1 species
UGGUGGGCUGCCUUGUCAGGUUGAUUCCGGUAACGAACGAGAUCUCCGCCUGCUAAAUAGUCACGCGCACCUUGGUGCGCGCCUGACUUCUUAGAGGGACUACCGGCGUUACAGCCGGUUGGAAGUGGGAGGCGAUAACA